AAAUACAUUUUCUGUCCAGCCAUCAGUUUUAUGUAAAAAAUGUGUUUGAUUUAAAUUAAAAGUAAGUCCUGUUGGUGUAAAGUAAAUAAAUUUCUGUAAAUUAAAGUAAAAAUAUUAGUUUCCAUUGUCACGUGACUUACGUAACGUCAUCCUGGUCGUGCGUGAGGACGUUCAGCUGAAGUUCAGCUUUCCGCCAUCUUGUUAUACACUGCACCGAUGGAUGAACUCCGCGCCGUACAAUGGGAUUCAAGAAAAUUGGCCAAUCAUAUACCAUCCCUGGAGAGACAUCAGCAAACAUUAUGACAAAGACGUUUGCCUUACGCAGACAAGAGAUUGUGGAAAACCAACCUACUGUUCAAGAACUGCAAGAAAGAUUGCCAGAGGAGAUUAAUGCAGAAUUGCGCAUCACGAUCUUACCUUGAAAAUCAAGAUUUAUGGCCUCUUUGGACAGACAGAGCUCUCAUGUUAUUAGGAGCAACGGUGGAGUCCUCCAUGAAAAACUAAGGACACUAUUAAAGUUAUGGAUCAGAGUCUGGACGUAGAAAUCAGAAGAGAAAGCCUGCUGAAGUGCCUGAUUCAUGUACUAUUCAUGUGAAGAUGCAAGCUGUCUGAUCAAAGAAUACCAG